rnacentral:rRNA from 1 species
UACGUAGGGGGCAAGCGUGGUCCGGAUUUACUGGGCGUAAAGCGCGUGUAGGCGGCCACGCAGGUCCGUUGUGAAAACUGGAGGCUCAACCUUCAGACGUCGACGGAAACCGUGUGGCUAGAGUCCGGAAGAGGAGAGUGGAAUUCCUGGUGCAGCGGUGAAAUGCGCAGAUAUCAGGAGGAACACCGGUGGCGAGGGCGGGUCUCUGGGCCGUAACUGACGCUGAGGAGCGAAAGCGUGGGGAGCGAACAGG